AUUAUGAAAGCAAAAAAUUAUGGCGGUAUUUUAAGCUUUUCAGAGGAAUUUGCUCUUUAAUGGAUAAAACACCUAAAUCUUACUUAAAUUUGUUAAUUCAAUUUGUAUACCACUAUAAAAACAAUUUAUAACUUUAAUUGUUGGUAUUUAUUAAAUUAAAAUAUAUUAAGUCAAGGUGCAGUAAAAAUUUAAGGAUGAAGUGAAUUACAUUACUUUUUAGAGAAAUAAAUUUAAAAUAAUAUUUAGGAUUUGAAAGUAAAAUUAAAAUAUAAUGUUAAU
rnacentral:rRNA from 1 species